GGGGAGAUGCGAAAUAGAAAGCGCGGCGUGAGGGGAAGCCCGGCAGUUAUUCCAGGAGUUGGCUCUGAAUGUCUUCCCAGAAACCUGGUUUUUUUUUUUACUCCCAGCGUCAAAUAUCUGGCCUCGUGUCCUCAGCAGAGUGACAGGUGCUGCGCCAUCUUCCCUACUCAAGAGUAGGCCUCGCUUAAUUCUGUAGGCCUAAGGAUUUUACUUUCUUCCAGGCCCCAUCUACACAGUUGUAUAAAAUCCACAUUGAACUGGAUUAUAUGGCAGUGUGGACUCAGCCAUAUAACCCAGAAUACCAAGGCAGGAAAUCCCACAAUAUCUGCUGGGAACUGGUUAUUAUUAUUAAUUUAUUUCUAUCCCAUUUUUCCCUCAGAUGGGGACUCGAAGCAGUGAACAAAAUGUAAACAAAACAUUACAUAGCAAAAAAAUAAACAUAAUACGGUAGAGUCUCACUUCUCCAAGCUAAACAGGCCAGCAGAAUCUUGGAUAAGCGAAUAUCUUGGAUAACAAGGAGGGAUUAAGGAAAAGCCUAUAAACAUCAAAUUAGGUUAUGAUUUUACAAAUUAAACACCAAAACUUCAUGUUAUACAACAAAUUUGACAGAAAAAGUAGUUCAAUACGCAGUAAUGUUAUGUUGUAAUUACUGUAUUUACGAAUUUAGCACCAAAAUAUCACGAUACAUUGAAAACAUUGACUACAAAAAUGGCUUGGAUAAUCCAGAGGCUUGGGUAAGCGAGGCUUGGAUUAGUGAGACUCUACUGUAAUCAGACCCAAACAUCUGAUAAAAAAAUAUACAAUACACGACACACAUAGUACAAAAGCAGCAAAAACAAUGUAAACAUUCAAUAGAUUAAAAAAAACAAAAUAAUGUCCAUUCCUUUAGGCCACUGGCAGAUCCAUUGCCGGAGGACCUGUGUUAGUUGGAUAAGUCUAAAGUGGUGGUGUCAAACUGCAUUUGCUUUCUAGCAGGCAUUGGCAAACUUCAUCCCUUCAGGCGUUCCAUGUCCCAACUCCUAACAGCCCCAGGCCCCCUCCCUGAGUCCACACUGUCAUAUAUUCAAGUUCAAAGCAGAUAAUGUGAGAUUUUAUUCAGCUGUGUGGAAGGGGCCUUAGGGCCUGUCCAGACAGUACCUUUAUCCCAAGAGUUUCCCCAUUCAAAAUGGAGGGUGACGAAACGACAUGUGAGAAAAUGUGAGAGAAAUUGCUACAAAGCCCAAAAAAUGCAAGAUUUUCAGUUGUGGGAAUAUCCCAGUUCUGGCUGAAAAAUGGAGAUAAUUCGAAUCUCUGUCUCUACACUUAGAAAAUAUGGGAUUUUUUAUGUUGGUUUGUUCCCGGGUUAUACAUGUCAGUUCCUAACUGGUUGUAUCCUAAAAACGUGACAACAAUUGACUAGAGGGUGAAAGUUUUAUCUUGGCAGGAGAAACUUCGUCCUUCACACGUUUAAUGAAGUUUGUGACACACAAACAGGUUUUGGCAUGUAAUCAACUUUCCCAUGUUUUUAUGAUAAAAGCAAUGAGAAACAGACAUGUAUAACACAGGAACAUCACCCAGGCACAAGCACAUGGCCAACAGAUGGCCACACAGCCUUUAGAACCCAGGAACGGAACUUAUGCAAUGAUUUGGAUAUUCGCAUCAUAAGUAUUUUUAUAAAAAAAAAACCCGCCAAAAAUUCUGGCUGAUGUCCCACGGCAGCCAUCUUGGGGGCUGCAAAAUCCCAGGACAAAGCAACAAGUGUAGACGAUGGAGGCAGAAAUCCCAGGACCAACAGUGUCAAAAGGAACACAUGAAAGAAUUUGAGAUCCCACCACUGGUUCUGUAGGAAGAAAAUGCAGAAAAUGAAGAGAGGCAUUGCUGCCAAUAAAAAAAUUAUUCAUGCAGAAUAACUGGAAGGCAGUGGAGAGAAACUAUACAAUUUUUUUGCAGGAUAUUUUAUAUCAGAUAUGUGCAUCUAAACCCCUAUGAUUUGGGAGUCAUGUGGAAAUUCAGGGCAGAUCCUGAAAACGAAUCAACUCAGCAUUGAAGAAUAUGUAAGAAGACUUUUAAAGUAAAGAUAAAAUGUAGGAUGGUGGGAAAUACUAUCUGAACUUAACACCAACGAUGUGUUGUCAGAGAAAUGGUAAGAAAUCUUCCGCCUGAGAUGGGAUGGUACAGUACUGAGACUGGGAUUGAUGUUGUGGGAUGGACUGCCCCCAGAACGAAUCCUAUGACCAGAUGAUAUCCAUGAUGGGCACUUCCUCUAAAGCUCCACUCCAGACAUCAGCUCAGUCAUUUCCCAUUGGACCCAGGGUUCCGAGGAUCAUCUGCUCUGGGUCUGGUUGAGCUGACUUUGCCUGCUGGAGGCCAUGGCUUAUGUUGUGCCUCUCCUUUUGGAACAGUGGUUCUCAACCUGUGGGUCCCAAGAUGCUUUGGCCUUCAACUCCCAGAAAUCCUAACAGCUGAUAAACUGGCUGAGAUUUCUGGGAGUUGUAGGCCAAAACACCUGGGGACCUACAGGUUGAGAACCACUGUUUUAGAAGGACUUUCCCCAAGACUCUACUAAGUGAAUAGGCCACGUUGUCAGAGCAAAUUUGGCUCAUGGGUUGGAGGUUGCUCAUCCCUGUCCUGAGAAAUAUAAAAUACAUCAUUUAUUUAUCUAAAUAUUUGUCUUCUGUUCCGCUGGCCUAAUGUCUUGGAAUGGCUUACAACAAAAUAAGUUUAAACAAUUUUAAAAUGUAAAAUAAUAGAAAUAAUUUAAGCAACCUUAAAUAUAUUAAACAAUUGGAUUAUGUCGACUUGAAACUUUAAAAAGUGAAAACUGUGGGAAUGCAUAUUUGUGUAUACAUUUAUAUGUAUGUGUUUAAAUUAUACCGGUAGUACUCUGCAAGCCACAUUAUACCACUCAUAUUACUUACCUUUUUAUGCAAAUGUGUCUCAGCAGCCAUUAAUGUAUGAUUUCUACAAAAACUGUAUACUACACAGAAAAAUACUGUAGUUGCAAAACAAUGUCAAAAACCUUCCCUGAACUGGCAUUCUUUUCACUUGUUAAGGAAAAAUUACAGAUUGAAUUUGUGUUCAUUUUUUAUUUUUAAGUUUAAUGCUUUGACUGUAAUAUUGAAACAGAGCUGUUGAACUUCGGCAGUAAGGUUUUCUUUAUUCCCGAUGAAUGACUCAGCAGCAUUUUAAUCUAUUUGUCCCCAAGUGGCCGUA